CCUUCGAUAGCUCAGUUGGAAGAGCGUGGGACUGUAAUGGUUUACUGGGUUCUACCCGUCCAAAAAUUGGGUAUCCCAAGGUCACUGGUUCGAUCCCGGUUCGAAGGA